CAGGCUCUGUGGGACAAGACUGAGGGCAAGAAAACCACUGGGGAAGAAGAUGCAGGAAAGCAGCAAGAGAUGAUGCCAGCCCUAGGUGUGGCAGAGCUUCCACGCAUUGUGAGUCUCUGGACACCGCACCAUUCUUGACCUUUAACUCCAUCCUUACCUCUUCGUUAUGGCCUCUCUAUGUGAAACAAUGGGGUCCAAGCCAAGAAACCUGGAACAAUAAAAAGCCAGUCCAGUCUUCUGUCAUGAUUGUCUGCAAACCUAAUAAAAAUGGAUGCCUUGGGCUCUGGAA